rnacentral:rRNA from 1 species
CCUACGGGAGGCAGCAGUGAGGAAUAUUGGUCAAUGGCCGGAAGGCUGAACCAGCCAUGCCGCGUGAAGGUCAGUGCCCUAUGGGCGUUAAACUUCUUUUGUGCGGGAGCAAUAAUGGUCACGUGUGGAGACGAGAGUACCGUACGAAUAAGCAUCGGCUAACUCCGUGCCAGCAGCCGCGGUAAUACGGGGGAUGCAAGCGUUAUCCGGAUUUAUUGGGUUUAAAGGGGGGGUAGGCUGUGAGGUAAGUCAGCGGUGAAAUGCCCCCGCACAACGGGGUGAAGUGCCAUUGUUACUGCCUGGCUGGAAGGCGGAUGCCGUGGGAGGAAGGUGUGGUGUAGCGGUGAAAUGCAUAGAUAUCACACAGAACACCGAUUGCGAAGGCAUCUCACGAAUCCGCGAUUGACGCUGAUGCACGAAAGCGUGGGUAUCAAACAGGAUUAGAUACCCUAGUAGUC